rnacentral:piRNA from 1 species
AGAAAGGCAGCGGCACUUCCGAGGU